AACGUAGGACACAAGCGUUAUCCGGAGUUACUGGGCGUAAAGGGCGUGUAGGCGGAGGUGUAAGUCUAUUCUGAAAGCUCCUGGCUAAACUGGGAGAGGCGAAUGGAGACUGCAUAUCUAGAGUGAGGAAGAGGAAAGUGGAAUUCCCAGUGUAGCGGUGAAAUGCGUAGAGAUUGGGAAGAACAUCCGUGGCGAAAGCGCUCUGCUGGACUGCAACUGACAUUGAGGGACGAAAGCUAGGGGAGCGAAUGGG
rnacentral:rRNA from 1 species